UGGUCCAUCCUAAUUCCUGUUGGUCGCCUGUGGCCUUCAGGUUUCGCUUGUGGACCAGAGCAACCUAGAAGCCUGCCCCGAGGAGUGAGCACGGCUUCCCUGGGCUCAUGCCAGGGGCACUUCUAGACACUC
rfam:Myotis brandtii contig167408, whole genome shotgun sequence.